GACAAAUGAUGCAAGAUAGUAUUUUUGGAUAAAGUUAACCGAUAUUUAGGAUUGAAGAUUUAUAUUUUUAGGUGAAAUUUUAAUUGGAAAUUAAGACAAAGUUUAGUUAGGUGAAACUUGGAAGGCUGGGGGAGAAACUA
rnacentral:rRNA from 1 species